rnacentral:rRNA from 1 species
UACGGAGGGUGCAAGCGUUAUCCGGAUUCACUGGGUUUAAAGGGUGCGUAGGCGGACAGGUAAGUCAGUGGUGAAAUCUCUGGGCUUAACCCCAGAAACUGCCGUUGAUACUAUUUGUCUUGAAUAUCCUGGAGGUAGGCGGAAUAUGUCAUGUAGCGGUGAAAUGCUUAGAUAUGACAUAGAACACCGAUAGCGAAGGCAGCUUACUACAGGAUGAUUGACGCUGAGGCACGAAAGCGUGGGGAGCAAACAGG